rnacentral:rRNA from 1 species
UACAGGGGGGGCAAGCGUUGUUCGGAAUUACUGGGCGUAAAGGGCGCGUAGGCGGCCAACUAAGUCAGACGUGAAAUCCCUCGGCUCAACCGGGGAACUGCGUCUGAUACUGGAUGGCUUGAGGUUGGGAGAGGGAUGCGGAAUUCCAGGUGUAGCGGUGAAAUGCGUAGAUAUCUGGAGGAACACCGGUGGCGAAGGCGGCAUCCUGGACCGGUAUUGACGCUGAGGCGCGAAAGCUAGGGGAGCAAACAGG